GUAGCAUAAUGAAUAGAGCGUUGGACUUCUAAUCCAAAGGUCGUAGGAUCAAAUCACACCUCA
rnacentral:tRNA from 1 species